CUGAAUAUUUUCUCAUCUCAUUGUAUUUUACGAAAUAUUAAAGAUAAAUGUUUGUAUUGGAGAGAAAAAAAACAGACACAAAUAUUAUUAUUAUUAUAUAUAAAAUAUGCAACAGUUGCACAGUUGAAUUAAAUGUAUGUUAUAUGUUGGUAAGUUGUAUCUUCAUAUGUUUUUCACUACAGAACACUCAAUAACCAUUUCAAAGUUCCCACAACAUAUUAAUUUUAUUUUCAUUUUUUUUUGUUUCAAUUUCAAUACGAUAGUUGGAACGAAAUCUACUAUAACAUUGAAGAAGCUUAAUUAUUACAAAUUUUAAUCAAUAACAACCAUUGAACAAGUCAACACAAGAAUUCUUUACAAUCUAAACGAUAAACCAGUUGCCAUAUUAGCAGAAUUACUAUUGAACUAUCAUAAUCUUAUAAAAGACAUAGAAUCUGACCCUUUUUUAAUUUGUACCUCUAAAGAGAAGAAACUCACAGCCAAGUCUUUUCAUAGGCUCAGGUCGUUCUUAAAUAAACUCCCACAUGUAUUGUCUCCAUUUUCUACGUUAGGUACUAGGUACUUUGUUCUUAUCUAGAUGAAUGGUUACGUCAGAUCAACAUCAUAUGCACAACAUUACGUAACAGGACAUAUACUCAUAAUGCAUUCAGUAAGAAAUAUAUCUUAUGAAGAAAUGAAUAUUUAAGCAAUAGUUCACAAUAAGUUAAUCAGUGGGAUUUCAUAUAUCAGAAAUACAUCAGAAAUGAGUAAAGGGUGACUUCUAAUGAACCAGGUCGUUCUGAGCAUCAAGUACUUAUGAGAACUUAACCCAUUACGUUUCAUGUACAGUGCUUGUAGUGCGGGAAAGACAGUAAAUUGGGUGAAUGGGUGGCAAGGAUUGGACCAGCAUAUCCUCUGCAGACUAAAUACAGGUUACCAUUAAGAUGGAUGGCGUGAAAUUGUAAAAGACUUAGCAUUGGGUACCUAAAGGGUUACGAGAUAAAAGAUGACAUGGUUAAAAAAAAAGAAAAUUUCCACCUGUGCCAGCACAGCAAAAAAAUAUUUUCUUCAAGCUACUUGUCAUCAGCGUGAAUGGGAUGGACAAAGGAAUGGCAUUAGCACGUAGCUUGAUUAGUCUUAACUACGUGUGACACGCGCGCAUUUUGAGGUAUGCGAACGGAUUGCUUGGACUAACUAGUUUCAUACCAAAAUACUCAUAGACUUGAACAACGAAUCACAUACAUGUAUGUACAUAAAAAAAAGUCUUAGGCAUAAAAAAAAUUGAUAAGAAAAAAAAAUAUUUAAAGAAAGCAAGUCUAUGUCAUGUAGUUCCCAUUUUGUAUGCUCCUCCUCCUAUCCCCCUUUAUCUAGCUUGUUCUCAGGAUAACAUUUACAAAACUUCCUAUGCCGAACCUGUCAUUCGGUCUGAUCACUUCUGAGGUUUUUUUAUGCACUAUAGGCAGAAGUCUCAAGGGACCGGGUAUAGCUAGAGGGCCGUAGGUUGUGCAUCACUGACAUAAAUAUAUUGGUUAAGAUUCGCUCUACUGUUAAUGUAGUCAAAAAUCUUCCUAGGUGGUUGAUCAUGGAGAUUAGGUCACGUGAACAACAAACAAGGUGGUUAGUAAAAGUUUACACACAAACAAAAACGAAACAAUGUACAGUUGAAUAUGGACUUAGCAGCCAGGAAGCUACUUUAAAAAAAAGACUUAAUGUGGACCACACAACAUAGAACAAUUUAUAUCCAUGAAUAAAGGUAAGCAUUCUAACAUCUGGUAUUUGACACCAAUAUGAAUGAUCUAAAAUCACGAAACAUGCAGCGAUAAACAGUCAGAAUUAAUUAACAUAACAGAAUUAUAGAUAUAUUUAACUUUGCAAAAUAGAAACCUACGUUUGAGUCAUUUUAUAAAAGAAAAACAGUUAUAAGAUUUAUAAGAUAAGAUGACAGAUGAAUAACAAUGUACGCAAAUGUAUGCCUAAUUUGUUGAAUAUUUCGUAGCUAUUCCGCUAUUUGAUUAAUACGAUUAAAGUUUAGACUAUAAAGGUUUGUGAUUGAAACACUUACAAUAAAAACAUUUAAAAUAUUUUUUUUUAAAAAAAGAUAAUUCCUCCUUUAAGCAACUUAUUGAGCGAUUAUUUUUCUAUUGAAAAUUUAAAAUGUUAGCUUUAAAAACAUUUUUUACCCCCCCCCCC